rnacentral:rRNA from 1 species
UACAGAGGUGGCAAGCGUUGUUCGGAAUUACUGGGCGUAAAGGGCGCGUAGGCGGUUCGUUAAGUCCUGUGUGAAAUCCCCCGGCUCAACUGGGGAACUGCACAGGAAACUAGCGGGCUUGAGUUCGGGAGAGGGAAGCGGAAUUCCGGGUGUAGAGGUGAAAUUCGUAGAGAUCGGGAGGAACACCAGAGGCGAAGGCGGCGACCUGGACAGUUACUGACACUCAACUGCGAAAGCGUGGGGAGCAAACAGG